CCGACGAUAGCUCAGCUGGUAGAGCGGAGGACUGUAGAUGUUAGCAGUUAUCCUUAGGUCGGUGGUUCGAAUCCGCCUCGUCGGA